CGUGCAGCCGGGUCUGCAAGUCAGAUGUGAAAUCCAUGGGCUCAACCCAUGAACUGCAUUUGAAACUGUAGAUCUUGAGUGUCGGAGGGGCAAUCGGAAUUCCUAGUGUAGCGGUGGAAUGCGUAGAUAUCGGGAGGAACACCAGUGGCGAAGGCGGCCUACUGGGCACCAACUGACGCUGAGGCUCGAAAGUGUGGGUAAGCAAACA
rnacentral:rRNA from 1 species